AUUGAACGCUGGCGGCAGCCCUCACACAUGCAAGUCGCGCGAGCGGCGGACGGGGGAGUAAUGUAUGGGGACUGCCCGAUAGAGGGGGAAAACUACUGGAAACGGUAGCUAAUACAGCAUACUAUCGGAUAACCCAUAUGGGAUUAGCUAGUAGGUGCGGUAAUGGCUCACCUCGGCGACGAUCCAUAGCUGGUCUGAGAGGAUGAUCAGCCACACGUGGACUGAGACACGGCCCAGACUCCUACGGAGGCAGCAGUGGGGAAUAUUGCACAAUGGGCGCAAGCCUGAUGCAGCAAUGCCGCGUGUAUGAAGAAGGCCCUAGGGUUGUAAAGUACUUUCAGUCGGGAGGCGUUACCGACAGAAGAAGCACCGGCUAACUCCGUGCCAGCAGCCGCGGUAAUAC
rnacentral:rRNA from 1 species